UCUCUCUUUCUCUCUCUCGUUUUUGUCGACAACCAUCGGAAAUCCCAUGAAAAUGGACAAGCUCCGCGUAGAAGCCUGAUCGAGGACCAAACGCCCGGUUGCUUCAACGAACAGCUUCUGCUACGGUUUUCUGGAUUCUUGGGACCAGGUUUGCUAUUAUACUAACAAAUCUUGGACAGCGGCGACAGGGUGAUACCAGGUAUUCCCUACAAACAUAAGGGAAGUGCCGGAAGCUUGGUGACUAUGGUCAGCUGCUGUCUGGUUUCAUACACUCCCAACUUUUUCACAAGUUGGAUAUCAUAGCGAGAGAAGUCAUAUGAUGCUAGUAUAGUUGUUAGUUAUUGUGUGGUUUUAUACACUUUCAACUUUGGGACAAGAUUUUGUUAUUAUUUACUACUGGUUGUUUAUUUUGUUGGCAUGGGUGGUUUAGAUUGUUCCAAUGGACUGCCCAAAUGAACAGCUCCUUGUGCUUCUGAUACGCUUCUUACCUUGAUGUUAUGAUUUUGAUGUGUAUAGAUAUUAUUUGUUUUUAUAACCCACGAAUUUGAAUGGUCAUGCCGUCAUAUUAUGAUUUUAAUGUGUAUAGAUAUGCUAUCAGGUGCAACGAAUUUAAAAAACAACAAAUGUGAACCUUUUUUAAAAAAUAAAAUAAAAA